GAUUAAAAGUAUGAUCACAACCUUACAGCCCUCGCCUCGCGUCAUCUCUACACUCCGCCCUCACGCGUCGCCUCGCGUCAUCUCCAUAUCGGAAAAAACACUCCCCGUGAAAAACUCCAUAACUUCGUAUGGUAUCGCAGAAAACCGUUCCCGGCCGUGGAAGCCGUGGAGGACCGCGUCGCAGAAAACCGAUCCGGCCGUGGCGGACGAGGAGUUGGGCGCCCUGCGAGAAGUGCUGGCUUGACUGGGCCGUGUAGGAGCCACCGCCGGCGUCGGUUGCCCCGGGGUUCUGAUCUGGUCCUCACCUAGCCGGAGGAGAUGAAGGGCACCAGGGGCAGCCACCACAAGCAGCAGCAGAGGGCAUCAGGCACUCCUGAUACAGUAGGCGCUGCAGCAGCAGGUCCGGUGCUGCGGCGGACAUGACCUAGGUUGUCCGCCUGAUCCUCACCUCUCAAUUUACCGUGAAAUUUGCUCCUGCAGGAUGCUUGGUUCAGUAAACAUGAAUUUUUUAAUUGUUAUUGAUAAUUCCCACCCUUGAUUACUAAAGUGAAAUUAUCAGUGUUUUUCAAAGCAGGAUGCCAUGCCAUCUGCAUUUAGGGCCUGCAAAUGUCUUCAGAUGUCUCCUGUAACCCAUGCCUCUGUUAGGUCUGUGUUUAAAUUUUAUGAGAUUUUGGUACUAAAGUACUUUAGAGGACCAUCAUGUUCCAGUACUUGUGAUACCUAAUAAUAUGUACAAAUUUUAUAUGGUUUUUGUAAUAUUUCUUUUUAUGUAUUCCUUUUUCUCUCACCUUUGGAUUGGAUUUCUUAUAUCUGCACCUAAUGUCACCUCUAACAUGUUUGUUUACUCCGCAUUCUACUUUAUAGUGCAGGAAGCUCCUAAUUCCACCUGUAGCUUAUCUGGUUCCUCAAUGUACCAUUUUGUAGAGUUACUCCAAAUUAUGUCGCAGUGUAGAAAAAUUCCUUUCUUUGUUCAACAUUCCGCUGCUUGUGACUACACUUACUUCCUCAUACAUUUUAUCUGGUUUAUUCCAUGAUGCAGAUUCCAUUUGCUUUUAUUUCUCAUUAGUUUCCCUGAAUGCACUUUGUAGUUAUGCAUAUUUGUUUGUUGUUCAUGUAUUCUGCUCAUCUAAGUUUGGGGCAACACAGUAAAUUUUAAUUUCUUAUGUCAAUUAUUUUAUCGGCAGUUGAUGCCUUAGAAUAAGAAAAAAAUAAAGAAAUGAAAUAGUUGAGCUAUACACAGCUAGGGUAAUUUAAAGAUACAGGGUAUCAUGUAGAUAAUCUAAGCUUAUCUACUGACAGUUUAGUGUGGGUAAUUUAAAGAUACAGGGAUCAGUAGUUGUAGUGGCUCAGCGGUGAUUGUCUGAGCAGUUCAUCAGCAGCUGCAGGUGACAGGGAUAUUGCUUCAGAGCUUGCCAGGGACUGAAGUCUACUGCGAGAGAUUUGCGAGGGCUCUUGCCAAUUAGUUGUGUGCACCAUUAUUGGUUCUGGACAGCAGUCUUCUAGCACCAUAUGUAAUAUAUUCUUUCCCAUAUAUUAUAAGUCUUAAGAUCAGGAUAAAGGUUUAGAAUCAGAGGUCGAUGGAAGGUGACGAGGAACCUGCUAAAAGUGAGGAUGAUGGCAUAGUCCAAUCAGGUAAAUCUUCACACACACUGAGUUUAAACAGUGUUGUCCGAUCCCUGUCUCAUCUUCUCUUUUAUUUGUCUUAUAAGGAAUCUUUAAGAAAAUGUAUUGUUAAUCUUUAUCAAGAUGAAUGAUGGAAUAAGAUGCGUGCAAGAGAUGAAUAAAA